rnacentral:tRNA from 1 species
GGAAGGUUGGCAGAAUCCGGUUUAUUGCACUCGACUUGAAAUCGAACGAUGCUGAAAAGUAUCCGGGGGUUCAAAUCCCUCACCUUCCGCCA